GACGAACGCUGGCGGCGUGCUUAACACAUGCAAGUCGAACGAUGAACCCGGAGCUUGCUCCGGUGGAUUAGUGGCGAACGGGUGAGUAACACGUGAGUAACCUGCCCUUGACUCUGGGAUAACUGCGGGAAACUGUAGCUAAUACCGGAUACGACCCUCGGCGGCAUCGCCAGGGGGUGGAAAGAAUUUCGGUCAAGGAUGGACUCGCGGCCUAUCAGCUAGUUGGUGAAGUAACGGCUCACCAAGGCGACGACGGGUAGCCGGUCUGCGAGGGUGACACGCAAGACUGGGACUGAGACACGGCGCAGACUCCUACGGGAGGCAGCAGUGGGGAAUAUUGCACAAUGGGCGCAAGCCUGAUGCAGCAACGCCGCGUGAGGGAUGACGGCCUUCGGGUUGUAAACCUCUUUUAGGAGGGAAGAAGCGAAAGUGACGGUACCUGCAGAAAAAGCACCGGCUAACCACGUGCCAGCCGCCGCGGUAA
rnacentral:rRNA from 1 species